rnacentral:lncRNA from 1 species
UCAACUCGCCACCGGGUUUCUCAAGACCAGAACGGGUUCACGCCAACGGAGAGCACAGAUACACCAGCGUCCAGCCUCUUGCCACGGAGGGUACAUGCUACUCUCGCCAUCUCUCCACUCCCAUUGCGUGGUGGCCUUUAUGGUAUUGGUCCGACCGAGGCAAAGCUUGCCCAUGACGAGGCAUGUGGCCAGUUAAAGGGUCAUCGGUCAGCAGGCCCACAUCGGCUCGGUCUUUAAGCGACUCAAACGGAGACACUACACCGAGACUUCCUUCUCGUGCAAGUCACCUGCCCGGUCUCAUCUUUAUCAUUUACAACCAAAAGUUUGGUACCAGACAUAGGUACAUAUUUUUAGAUGUUGAACCCAUCAUGACCAAGAUGGAUUCACCAUCAAGUCUUUUCUUUGAAAACUUCCCAUCCCAUAUGAAGCAUCAUCUUUUGUUUAAAACAAAACAUUUUGUUUUCUAAAGCAAAGCUAAGCAUCAGAAAACUUUAAGUAAAACAGGUAUCAAGGAAUGGUAAUCAGUUCCAAGGAAAUGCAGCAAUUGUUUAGCACACAACUCCUAUCACCUAAUGCAUCAUCUCAAGUGAUAAAGAGUUUAAAACAACAAGGAAAGGGGUAAAUGCAUCGGGGCUUAUCUUGUGUUGCAGGAGGUUCUGGAUCUGUCCCACAAAUGUCAAAAUAGAAGUUGUUCUCAACCGAAUGAUUCUCAGCUUGCGGGACAACUUCUUCUUCGACUAUAGCUUCUUCUUCGUUUUCUAUACAUAACAAUACAUAUACAUGAAUUCUUAUAUGAUGCUAUGAAUAUGUAGGUAUGUAAUAGAAACAUACUAGGUUGUAUCUUGAAUACAACUUUCCUUCACGGUACAUACUAGUCACUAAGGUUUACUGAGUUAGUAUUCUAUCAGUACUAGUCAAUUAAACCCUAGGAAGCUAGUGUAUUGGGUUUGGGACCAAACAAUAUCCAAAGCAUGUCAAACUCUACCCAAGGACUUUAAUCAUCAAACUUAGCUUACCCAAAAAGUUUUAUUAUUUUUGGAGUUACCAAAUUAUAUCUAAAAUUCUAAAAGGCUAUGUUUAGGCAUCUUUAAAUUCCAAAUAAUUCCAGGUUUGGACUAAAAAUCUUGGAACUAUUUUUAUUCAAUACUAGAUGAAUUUAGGAGUCUAGCAAAAUUGGUCCCAUAAUUUUACCGUUUCGCUAGAAUUUCCUACAAUUUUCGAAGUCUGGCAGAAAAAGGAAAAAGGAAAACGAUGAAUAGUACCGGGAUGAAACUAGCCCGAUCCGGCCCACAACCAGGCAAAAUGCGCCCACGUGCGCCCGUGUUGGCCAUUUUGCACAGAAGUCCUCAGCUAUUCGAAAAACCCGUAAAGAAUACUUAUUCACUAUUCACUUGUGUCUCUGACAUGUGCACUUAGGCCCCUCACUUCUUACUCCUUCGCAAUACCGGGUACCUGACCACGAACGGCGGAGCGGCUGCUCCGACGAGCUUGUACCGGCCGCAGUACCCAAUAAGCCACGCUCAAUUUCAGUCUACGCCUAAUUCUACCCUUGGCGCUCCACUAGGAAUCACUAAUUUGGUCUGAACGCCAUUCUAGAGCUCGGUCCACGUACACCCACGGAGUUUGAGACAUUCCCGACGCGUUCCUAACGACACAGUGCAGUAACAUACGAAUUGGGAGCACGGUAAGCUUUAUCAACUUACCAGGACUCAAGAAUGGUAGCUAGGAAGGCUGGUGGAGGGACAGAGCGGUGGGUCGACAGAGGAGGUGUUCACGGCAGUGCGGAGAACUGAUUUGGGGAAAUCCGAAUUAGGGCGCUACGGUGAACGAUCAGGAGCGAGGAGUGGUUCACUAGUUCGUAACAAGUAGGCAGAACAGGGGGUGCCUCCAAUUUAUAGAAUCCGGCCGAGCUUAGCACGAAUUUUAGAUU